CCACGGCCGUGCCCUUAACCAACAUGGCGCCUCUUCGGCCUCAACCUCCCUUGCUUUUCCGGUCUGCCCUUCCUCACCAAGGGGAAAACCAGGAGGGAGGUUGGACCUGCAGGGCAGCAAAUCGUAGAUGACGUACGUUGAUUGGACGGCGCUGGCGAUUAGGGGAAGAAGGAAGGCUGUGAUUGGUCUCUCCAGAGCGGCCUAUUUGAAAGGCUGAGGAGAAGGAGCGACCUGUCUGGAAGGUGGCGCGCGGUGAGAGGCAGUAGGUUCUUUCUCUUUCUUUCUCUCUUCUUAAGUAGGCUUUCUUUUGACCUGGCUUUUCCGGGACAGGACCUAAAAGAGUGUUUUUGACGGUUUGAGGCUACUGCCUUCUACUUACAUGAGACCUGUUACGAGCAGGUGCAGAUGUCCCGGGCUUGAAGGAAAAUGGUGAAGAAAAUUGAAAUAAGCCAGCACUCCAAGUACGUUUGCUCCUUCUGUGGCAAAACAAGGAUGAAGACGUGAACUGUGGGGAUCUGGCAUCAUAGUGCCUGCAUGAAAAGAGUAGCCGGUGGCGUCUGGACCUACAAGACCACUUCUGUCGUCACAGUGAAUUCUGAGGACUGGAGGAGUCUUUCUUCAUUUGAAACAUUGCUAGCCUAUAAUAAAUGAGUUAUGUAAACAAAAAGGGAGGGAGGCGGCAGGAAUCAGUGUCAAAGAAGAUGUGUCAACAAAAACAGAGGCGGGAGUGACGCAUUGCUGGAAAGGGAACACAAAUCGAGGACUCGGGGCAGCCUCGAGAGGCUGGAAAGGGCAAGGAAUGGAUUCUCUAGAGUUUGGAGAAUGCGACCUUGCUGACACCUUGACUUUAGUCCUGGAAGACCUAUUUUCAGACUUCUGGCCUGCAGAAUUGUGAGAUAAUAAAUUUGUGUUAUUUUAAACCUC